rnacentral:rRNA from 1 species
UCGAGAAUUUUUCACAAUGGGGGCAACCCUGAUGGAGCGACGCCGCGUGGAGGAUGAAGGCCUUCGGGUUGUAAACUCCUGUCAUGCGGGAACAAGCAAGUGAUAGUACCGCAAGAGGAAGAGACGGCUAACUCUGUGCCAGCAGCCGCGGUAAUACAGAGGUCUCAAGCGUUGUUCGGAUUCAUUGGGCGUAAAGGGUGCGUAGGUGGUGACGCAAGUCUGGUGUGAAAUCUCGGAGCUCAACUCCGAAAUUGCACCGGAUACUGCGUGACUCGAGGACUGUAGAGGAGAUCGGAAUUCACGGUGUAGCAGUGAAAUGCGUAGAUAUCGUGAGGAAGACCAGUUGCGAAGGCGGAUCUCUGGGCAGUUCCUGACACUGAGGCACGAAGGCCAGGGGAGCAAACGGGAUUAGAUACCCCGGUAGUCCUGGCAGUAAACGGUGCACGUUUGGUGUGGGCGGGUUCAGACCCCGU